UACAGGGGGGGCAAGCGUUGUUCGGAAUUACUGGGCGUAAAGGGCCAGUAGGCGGCCAACUAAGUCCGACGUGAAAUCCCCAAGCUUAACUUGGGAACUGCGUCGGAUACUGGAUGGCUUGAAUCCAGGAGAGGUGAGUGGAAUUCCGAGUGUAGAGGUGAAAUUCGUAGAUAUUCGCAAGAACACCAGUGGCGAAGGCGGCUCACUGGCCCGAUACUGACGCUGAGGCACGAAAGCGUGGGGAGCAAACAGG
rnacentral:rRNA from 1 species